UUCAAUAUAUAAUUAUCAAAAGUAACAUUUGUUGUUAAUGGUUAUAGGCGGCGAAUUGCAAGAGCGCUUGAUUCCGGUACCCUACAGCAAGAGCAACACUGAUCAAGCUAUUCGUGUGGUCAAUGCUUUUCGCCAAGGACUCGACGGCCGCUAUGGAGAGCACACCAACACCUCUUUGGCUGAAGUUUUACGCAAGCAAACAUCGCUGAGCAAGCGCCUCUCUGAGACUUCGUCUAUAGAAUAUGCUGAUAAUAUCCCAGAUGAGUUAACGAUCCCCGAAAUCGACGUGGAGCGGCUCUCUUCUCAUAGUCAUACCGAGACGGCCGUUUAAGGAAAAUAAAAAUAAAAGCAUACUCACACAUCGUGAAAGUAUUAGCUAGAUCUGUGACUACAGCAAGCAGCCAACAAAUAACAAAUUAACAGCAGUAAAAACAAACACAGUUUUGGCAUUCAAGCUAAUGAAUAUUUUUAACACGAGUAAAUACAAAAUUGUGGUGGUGGGAAGAUCUUUCUGAUCUUUGUAUAAUAAACUUCAAAAAAAUGAAAUAAAGCAAAAUAAUGAUGAUAAGUAGCAGUGAAUGAAAUAAAAUGACACUGAAUUAUUGCGUUAUCUUAUGCUAAGCCGAAAAUAAAUUAGUAAAAUUUUUUUUUUACAUUGACACUAAUCGAAAUAGCUAUAUGGGACAAACUUAGUUUUUAUUUUAACAUAUAUGCAUAUUAUUUUCUUGAGUGGCUUUAUAACAAUCUCAAAUCUAUUUACGAAUUAGUGGUGGUUUUCAAUUAUUUAGUUAUUUGUUUCAAACCCCGUUACGUUGGAAACUUUCCUGAAAGUUGAGUUUCUAGAGGGAAAUAGCCAAGGAUGAUAAAAAGCAUAGUUCGGCCUUCCGAAGUCGCUGUGUCAACAGAGCCCAUGAAUAAGCGAGCAGAAGUUGUUUGUGAAGAGGAAGAGUAGCGGAAAGUAAUAGAAACUACCAAAAACAAGCAGUUAUGUAUAUGCACAGACACACACUUUUUCUUCUUACGCCGUCUUCCGUAUAAAAACGCAAAAAAACUGUAUUUGGAGGCAUAAUAUUAAUUUGUGUUUUCACAAUUUAACACGCGGCACUUCUCCUCCUAUUGUUUGUUUUGUAUUGUCAAGGGAUCUAAAUAGUUGCCAAAAUCGCCAAAUAUAAAGUAUCUGCUUUAGGAAGGCGCAACCAUAAGUACUCAAUUCGCCUUGUGAAAUAGCUAAGCGUGUUCGUGAACACUUUAUUUCUUGUUAUGGUAAUUUGAUGGUAUUUUUAUAUAUGUACAUUUCACAAUUUUAAAAACAUCUUCUGGUAAGUUGAGUAGUUUUUGUUAGGAAAUAAAUAAUUUUGAUGUAGAGAAAAUAACUUUUUAGUACUCGUUUUUCGUUUAGUCCCUCGUACAUACCACUACGACUAGCAUCAGCCGCAAUACAUAACAUCCGUACAUAUAAUAUAUUGUUUCAUAAGAUUUAGUUUUGUCCCAUAUACAAACCUAUCUAUUUGUGUUUAUGCUCUUGAAGAAGUUAGGUUUUUUACAAUAAGAGGCUGCAGUAAAUCCUUUAAAAUAUUAUAUUCUGAAAUUUGUUUUCUUCCAUUACAUUGAGCGAUACAAAUAAUCUAAUUACUCUAAUUACUUUAUGAUAAAAACAAUUAUUUGAUCAAUGUCCCAUAUUGCUACAUAUUUUGCUUAGUGUAUUAGCUUAUCGAGUGCUAAAUUGAAACCAAAUCCAUAAAAAUGUAUUUUAAAUUUGGCAGUUCUUUCAUAUUUAUUGGAGUAUCUUGUGCUAAAUUUAAAUCAAAUCACUAAAAUUUUAUGAUAAAUUUUGCAUUUGUUUUAUAUGUAAGGUGUACAUGUGUAUAUGUAAGGUAUCAGAUUUACAUGUAAGUAAGAAGCUUUGAUGAUUGAACCAAAUUAAUAAUUCGCAGUAAAUAUACAAACUUCCCAGUGAAGAAAUUUUCAGAUAUGCGGGCUACACACAGGCAACAAAUCAUAAAAUCGGUUGAAAAAAGACGUAUGUUUGACGGUAUUUACAACAGAUUGAAAGUAGACAAACAUUUUUGUUUUUCUUGCAAUCGAUUGUGUGCUUAUCGAAUUUGACGCCUUUUGUCAUUUCUUUUGAGAUCGUGAAAUGAAAAUUCUCAGCCAAUCCAGAGUUGAAACGAAUUUCAAUCCAUUCUGUUUGUGGCUCGCAUUACCGAAUCACGUACAUACAUAUGCAUAUACUAAAUAUUUAAAAAUUUCUUUAGUGGUUAUUAUUAAGAGUACUGAGUACAUAUUAAGAUAUAUAUCUGCAUAAAAAUAUGACCAGCUGUCAAUAAACUUUAAUUCAGAGGUAAAUACUCCUAUACGAUAGAUAAUAUUUAAGAUAUUUGUUGAGAAUUCAAUACAAAAGUAUUUAAUUUCUUUUCAUAUACCACUUAACAAAACAUGCAUAAACUUAUGUAUAUUACUCAAAAUGUAAAGUGAGCUCAGAAAAAUUAUUAUGAGAGCUUUUUUAUAUGCAAGCGCUGCAUUCUUUUGCGUCCGAUCUGCAAGAAAAAUACCCGAUAUCGGUUAUAUUUUACAUUUAAUUACAGUUGCUCCAUUUUGUUUUAUUUUAUGAGUCUAUCCAGUAGAUUAUCCCAAAGUAGUAGUACAUUGUGGUGUAUAUGUUGUUAUGUUCUUUUAAGUUUCUGCACUUCGUAAUGCACAAAUAAGUGAUAGUCUUAGACGUUUUUAUUCAAGGCGAAUCCAUACAACGUAAUAGCACUAGCACAAAACAAAAUGUGUAUGUUUUCUUUUAUGAUUUCUUGAAAUUGGUGGUUUGAGUGCCGAAAUUUAAAUCAGAAUGUAUACAAACAAGCAAAACAAUUACAAAAAAGUAGAUAACUUUGUCAUCCACUCUACUCAUCCAGUCUACCUUUCUACUUAAAGACAUAGAAACAGCACUCAUACCGUCUAAAAAUUCCGAAACAAUUCAUUUUCGCCCCAAUACUGCUGAUUAUUUACAGAAUGGAGCAUCUCAUGUUUAUGACUUUUCCCUGUUCCGGCAAAUGCUACAGAAGUCGUAGUGGGCGACUCUUAGUCCUUUCCCAAAUAUCCCGAAAAUAAUGUUGGAUAUUAGUAACUUCAUGGUUCUAGUUAAAUAUUUCCUGGACAUCUCAUGAGAUGUUUUGAGGUAUUUUACGAUUAAGACAUUUGAAUCUUAACUUUUAAUGUAUCCACAUUUAUGUUCAAUAAAUAUACAAUACAGCUACAAUCAGUAUAAAUAAUAUUACCAAACUGCUCACUUGGGACUUCAAAAGCCCAACAGCGUUUAAAAAAUAUAUAUACUCCUCUUACAUGUAUAUGUAACUUGAAAUUUGAAUAGGUCGAGGCAAGAAGCUCCCAGAAAUUUGGUGACUCCUAAUAGAAAGAAAGAGGGUGGAUAGUCAAGGAGAAAAGGAGACAAGUAUCAGAGAAAGAGAUAGGAAAGAAUAGAGACGGAGAUAACGGUAGUUAGUCCUGUGAGAAUUUUCCAGAUUAUUUGGCAAAUCUGUAAAUAACCUCCAGUUUUAGAGAACGAAUAUUACUCAUUCUCAUGACAUCGGAACAUAAAAUUCGUAGCCUUACUGUAGCAAAGUCAGGACACUCACAGAGAAAGUGCUCAGUGCUAACCGCCUCCUCCAAGCAUGAUAGGCACACUGGGUCCUCAAUGAUUCCAAUGGUGAUCAUAUGCUGACCCCAUGGGUUGUGUCCUGUAAUGAUACCGACCAUCAACCGAACGUCUUUCCUUCUAAGUUUUAGUAGACAGUUUGACAGCUUUCUGUUCGGACUUGUCACAAAACACUCUGCAGUUCUGCAGCGUUCUAGACCGGACCUUCGCGCUUUAUGUAGAUUACCUACAUAAUCGCUGAUCCAAUUCAUGAUUCCUGCGGAACUGAUUCCGAUUAUUGGCUCUGGUCCCUGUGGGAGAACCGCUGAUCCACGGUUGGCCAAUUCAUCGGCAAUUUCGUUUCCUUGAGAGUCUUAGAAUCCAUAUAAGUACAAGCCUGUUCUGUUUUGCGACAGUAUAAACUUCUUAUAUUCUUGAACAAUCUUCGAGGUUUGCUUCGCAUUCUCCAGGGCCUUCAGUGCAGCCUGACUGUCAUUGGAAACUCCAAUCUGUUUCCCGCUCCAUCUCCUCUCGAUUACCCAUUCGACUACUUUCAGGACGGCAAAAUUUCCGUUUGGAAAACAGUUGCCAUUUCCCCCAUAGCAUUGUGAUACCUAUUACUAUCCUUUAAGUACCCUCCGGCCGAACACCUUAUUUCCUUCUUGGGCCCAUCGGUAAAGAAAAUAUCCGUCGAACCUCCCUGUAUACAUUCUGGAUUGCUAUGUAAGUUAAAUAACAAGAGCUUGAAUAUCAUUUUAAAUCGUCAGAUCCGCGAGGUGCCGUUCAAAUAUAUGCAACAUUGGGAACUAAAUACAAAACGCUUUCGGGUAUACUCAAACAAGAAAUGUUUGCGGAGCUUAUUGUAUUUUAGUUUAAGGCAAAAACUUAAAACAAAAAUGUUUGCUAAUACAUUUUUAUAAAAUGUACAACAACAAAUGGAUGCACUACCUACAUAUACACAUGUGUAUCUCUAUUUCAUAUAUAAAAUUUAAAUCGUUAAGGUGGUUAUUCAAUAAAUAAAAAUGAACAUAAAAAGAAAAUAAAAAUAAGAAGCGUUUUAGAACGUUACCAGACUUGAAACAAGAACAACAAAUUUCUAGGCAACACCAAUGGAUAACGAGUCUAUAAAUAAAAUAUAAUUGUUACUGAAAAGAA